AUGGGGCGUGCACAUGAGCCAAAAGUCAUCGGGGCCAAACAGAUGACCUUGGCAGCCUUCGAUGAAGGUAGCAGCAGAACAAGGGCUCAUGGAGACAACAAUGAUGAACAUGGGCGCGGCGCCGUGGCACAUUGGGCGGCGUGCCCAUUUUGUUUGACACGGGAAAGCAGCGGCAUCAGCAAGGCCUCCAAGGAGUCAUGGGGCAUGGUGAAGAGCAGCAGCAGCGGGGCUCGCUGCCGGCGUGGUUGCGAGGACGUGGUGGCGGGGUCGAGGUGCGGGGCCUUGCUGGAAGAAGGAGUGGAGGGGCUCGUGGUCGCCGGCGGGGUUGCGAGCUCACCCCGGCGAGGGUGCCGAAGUCCAUGGCACAGCUCCCGUCGACGUGGAUGA
rnacentral:rRNA from 1 species